AUUGAACGCUGGCGGCAGGCUUAACACAUGCAAGUCGAGCGAGCGGCGGACGGGUGAGUAAUGCUUGGGAAACUGCCUGAUGGAGGGGGAUAACUACUGGAAACGGUAGCUAAUACCGCAUACCAUCAGAUGUGCCCAGGGGGGAUUAGGUAGUUGGUGGGGUAAAGGCUCACCAAGGCGACGAUCUCUAGCUGGUCUGAGAGGAUGACCAGCCACACUGGGACUGAGACACGGCCCAGACUCCUACGGGAGGCAGCAGUGGGGAAUAUUGCACAAUGGGGGCAACCCUGACGCAGCCAUGCCGCGUGUAUGAAGAAGGCCUUCGGGUUGUAAAGUACUUUCAGCGAGGAGGCGUUACUCGCAGAAGAAGCACCGGCUAACUCCGUGCCAGCAGCCGCGGUAAUUC
rnacentral:rRNA from 1 species